rnacentral:rRNA from 1 species
GAUGAACGCUAGCGGGAGGCCUAACACAUGCAAGCCGAGCGGUAUUGUUUCUUCGGCAAUGAGAGAGCGGCGUACGGGUGCGUAACACGUGUGCAACCUGCCUUUAUCUGGGGGAUAGCCUUUCGAAAGGAAGAUUAAUACUCCAUAAUAUAUUGAACGGCAUCGUUUAAUAUUGAAAGCUCCGGCGGAUAGAGAUGGGCACGCGCAAGAUUAGCUAGUUGGUGAGGUAACGGCUCACCAAGGCGAUGAUCUUUAGGGGGCCUGAGAGGGUGAUCCCCCACAAUGGUACUGAGACACGGACCAGAAUCCUACGGGAGGCAGCAGUGAGGAAUAUUGGUCAAUGGGUGCAAGCCUGAACCAGCCAUCCCGCGUGAAGGACGACUGCCCUAUGGGUUGUAAACUUCUUUUGUAUAGGGAUAAACCUACCCUCGAGAGGGUAGCUGAAGGUACUAUACGAAUAAGCACCGGCUAACUCCGUG